AAGGAGUGAGGAGCUCUGCAUGUGAGCUCCUCUCUCCUUCUCUACGUGGUCCCGGGCAGAAGAGGUCUCGGCAGCUGGGAGGGCGGGCGGUUGCUCAACACAGAAGUUGCCGUCUCAAUAUUGAUCGUUUAAAACAACAAUCACCGCAGAAUGUGGCAUGUUAAUAAGCGGAUUUUAUUUGCAGCACUUUAAUAAUGCAGGUACGUUCUCCAACCGAGUGUAGCACUUCCUCUUUUUAAGUUUGCAGUUUGUGCAAGUUUACUCGGAGGAAAGUACUGUUGCUUUUCACAGAACAUCGCUGCCCCAGUAUUAUGAAUCUAUCUGUCUGCUUAAUAAAUAUUUCUUAAUAUGCAACAGUUGGGGUUGGCUUAAAUAAUAUGAUUAGGUUUGGUGUUCUGUCUGCCAAUCUUGAUCUGACAAGAAAACUGCGAUAGGUAAGCAGUAUUUUAUCAAAAUGGAUUUUAGUGUGAAAUAUGGCACGGCUUAAUCUCUAUGUUCUAAAAAUGGCUGUUGGCAAAUUGAAAGCAUCCCCCCCAAAAAAGGGCAAGAGAAAGGAAGAAGGAAUAAAUUAAAAAAACAACACCUAGCGCCCGUUAUUAUAACGGGCUUAAAAUUACUAGUAGAGAAUAUUCUCUUAACAACAUUAUUUUACUUUUAUUAAGACCAUAUUACUAUAUAAUUGAUUGUUUUAUUAUGUGGAUUGUUUUAUCAUUUUUGUGAGCUACCUCAAGCAGUAUUGUUACCAGAACUGCACAAAGGCACUGGCAGGAUGGUUUGGUUAUGCUUCCUGGUCUGAAGUGGGAAAAUUAGCUCGACUUGGAGUACAGUUCUAACACAGCAUUAAUUUAAGCUGGUGUAUUGGAAAUGAGGCUUAGAGGCGUAAUUACAGUUUCAAAGCUUUAUUUAGGGUAAAAUCAGGGAAGUGCAUUAGGCAAAAGAGGGUCUGGUUAGGCAAUUCAGUAAUUUGGCUAGUGUUCUAAACGAGGGUCUAAUUAGAGGCUUACAGUAAAAAGUGCCUGGAGAGCAGGCGGGGGACACAAAGAAAAGAAGUGAGGGAGCUUGCGGGGAGGUGAGGUGUUAGUAUUACCUAUCCUUCCCAGGCAUGUUCAUUGCACUAAAGACGAUAAAGGGUCUCCUUGGGAGUAGAGAGCAGGGUGAAGCGGGGAGCAGCAGUUGUGACGGAUAGAGUGGAAGUCUGUCAGGUAACAGAGUGGGAAGCUUCCUAACCAUGUGGCAUGGCCAGGGCAGUUAUACUUGAAAACAUGCCCUGGGGCAGUUUCAAGGCAAUCAGGAGGCUAUCAGAAGGAAGAAGGGAACAGCCUGGGUGGGGCACUGUCUGUGCUGUCUUUUGCCUCUGCCCCACCUUUCCUCCAGCUCUUCUCCCGACCCUCUGACCCCAGGAAGCUCUGAGAACACUCCCUCGAGGAUUAGGGUGCUGCUGCUGAAUGCCAGGAGGAGAAUAGGCAAUAGUUUUGUCUUGCUGUCUUAUCAGUGCAUGUUAUAUUCUGAAAGCAUGAACAGAAUCACAUCCAACAGAUUAUUUUAUGAGUCAACACAGAGGAACCUAAUCGAUCUCUUAUAGACCAAAAGCAAAUUAAAACAACCUUGUCCAGGAUGGUCAGGAUACAUGCAAAAUGUCAUAGUCUAUCAACACCCUUGAGGGUCUGCCAUUUCCUUCCUGCUGAUGAUCGACUUAAACCUGCCAACUUACAGCUGUGUGUGCACUUCAUGGAAGUUUCCAUGUUCAGAAAUGGAAAGGCUGAAUGUGAAGAUGCCAGUUGUAACCUUUGACAACGUCUGUGGGUAAAGGCUAUGCACAAUGUCUGCCCUAAGCUUGAAGAAUUUCCCAAUAUUGUGAUUAGUCUUGGCAGAUUUCACACACUGGCGAUUUGAUGAGUGGAUCCGGCAUUGAGGAAACUUUGCAGAUGGUGUAUUUUGGAAAUGCUGUUUCUCAUAUGUUAACAGGAAAAGCCUAGUCACGUGCUCUUCAAGGACAUCUCUUGGUUUCUUCAGCUCUGACAGCAAUUUUCCAGCAGCUAUUCUGAAUUGCAGCUUGCCACUAUGAGCUCUCUGUGACAAAUGAAACUGAGAUAAUGAAUGAUAUAUGUGAACUGCUACACGUAGGCACUCUGAACAGCAAUUUCAACAAACCUGAUCAAACUUUAUGAUGCUUUCUUCUGAGGCAAAACACAGCUGAUCCACAGCUGAAAUCACAGCACAGAAGAAUUUCAUAUCCAGUUCUUACUGAACUAUAAUCACUAUUAGAAGAAAGGAAAGAGACUUCUGAAGACACACAAAGCAAAGUGAAGACACAUGAACUGCCAAGCUUUGGAUUAUGUAUCAUUACAUGGAUAUCGUCAAAUAUUGAUCUGGCAGAGCACACAGGCAACUUUAAUAAAUAUGCCUUGAACUAAAUAUGAGGGCUGUCACCCAAAUAACACAAUCGUAGUCAAUUAAUCAUAGGGGCUGGCAUCCAGGGUAGCAUUAAAGGGACAUAGCCAUAUGAGCCAGCAUCCCGUGUGCAUCAAUGAUGUCAUUUGAGCUGUGCCUCACUUCUCAUCCAUUUAAUAGUCUUUUAUAGUUGCUUCCCUCAUAUACACAAAUAAAUCUUAUGUAGAUUUACACAUAAGAUAAAGGUUUGUUCAGAAGCAACUCCAUUUUCUCCUUCCCCUCCCUUUUCCUUUCUGACUUUUCUCCCUUUUCCUUUCCUUUCCUUUCCUUUCCUCCCCCCCCCCCCGCCGCCACUCUCUACAAGAUCCCCCUUGGGACAAACCUCUCAACAACGCAACAUAAAAGAUUACUAGACAGAAUAAAAUAUAGUCCAUCCCAACUCUGUGCAGGAACUGCACUGCAAGGAGGUAAGCGUGUGGUAGUGGCUACUUCCAGGUGGGGCCAGGUGCACAGUGGCUUUCUUUGGCUUCGAUCCUUCAGAGCUAAAUAAUUGCACAAGCCUAUAUAGUAGCACCCCAGACACUAGUAAGUCUGGAUGUUUCCCCAGGAUGUUUCAAUCUAUACCAUGGACAUCAGGUAUCCUGGAAAUUUUAUAUCUCAUGGUUGAUUGCAUAUCAACCAACCAAGUUACAUCCCUGCUAAUUUGGCAAAGAGGCACUUUUUAAUGUGGUGAUUCUCUUUAUUUAGCAGGGGGAGAGUAAUUGGCUCUAUCCACCCCUGCACAGUACCUCCAGUGACUGUUGCUGGUGUCUAUCUUGUGUUUCUUUUUAGAUUGUGAGCCCUUUGGGGACAGGGAUCCAUCUUAUUUAUUUAUUAUUUCUCUGUGUUAACCACCCUGAGCCAUUUUUGGAAGGGCGGUACAGAAAUUGAAUGAAUAAUGAUAAAUAAUAAAUAUCAGAUGCUGCUGAUCAUUCAGUGGUAGUGUUUGGCAUCAUUUUAAGAUGAAGGAUAUCUUAUAAUGAUGAGAUAUGUUUCAUCAUUUAUAAUGAAGAUAAUCUCACCCAUCUCUCUCUUUAAAAAUACAAGUUAUAGAAACCCCUCAGGCUUCUUUUGAAAGCCAUGAAAAAGAAGGUAGUCAUAUUUUAUUGCGUGUAUCAGUCCAAAGAGUGCUUUGAUGCUGCUAGUACUUAGAAACACAGUUAUACACGAGUUUGAACAACGGUUGCAAACCAACACUAUCAGAUAUAAAAUGUUAAAUAAAGACAUGGUCUAAUAUUUGGUAAAUAUUCAACCUCAAAAUUAGAUGAGGAUUUUGAUGAAAAUUACUGGGCAAAUUUAUGUCAGCUCUUGUCUCUUUGCUAUAUAAUUAAAAAUCAAAUGGAUUAGAGCACUUUUAAAAAGUUCUCAACAUUUCAUACUUUAAAACUCAUUUUAUUUUUUCAGACAGUUUUUCUUAUUGCAUGUACUACUCAUGGGAUAGAUGGGAACUGAUAUUGUAUUCAAUAAAGUCUGUGAAUGAGGCCAUGAGAGAAUUUAAAGUUAAGGACAUGAGGCUACCAUUCAGCAUACUGCUAAAUCUGAGUCACUCUGUGGUGAAAUGAAUUUUCUUGGUGUGUCACUCUUUUUGCUUCCACGAGAAAAUAUACUUCUUUAAAAAUAUUAUCCAUUCCUAUUAUGCACAGAAAGUGAUCUUUCAGGAAUUUCUUGGUGCUGGUUCCCUGAAAAAGCUGA